rnacentral:rRNA from 1 species
UACGUAGGGAGCAAGCGUUGUCCGGAAUCAUUGGGCAUAAAGCGCGCGUAGGUGGCUCUGUAAGUCCGUUGUGAAAGUCAAAGGCUCAACCUUUGAAAGCCGAUGGAUACUGCAGAGCUAGAGUACGGAAGAGGCGAGUGGAAUUCCUGGUGUAGCGGUGGAAUGCGCAGAUAUCAGGAGGAACACCAAUAGCGAAGGCAGCUCGCUGGGACGUUACUGACACUGAGGCGCGAAAGCGUGGGGAGCGAACAGG